rnacentral:rRNA from 1 species
GAUGAACGCUGGCGGCGUGCCUAAUACAUGCAAGUCGAGCGAACAGACGAGGAGCUUGCUCCUCUGACGUUAGCGGCGGACGGGUGAGUAACACGUGGAUAACCUACCUAUAAGACUGGGAUAACUUCGGGAAACCGGAGCUAAUACCGGAUAAUAUAUUGAACCGCAUGGUUCAAUAGUGAAAGACGGUUUUGCUGUCUCUUAUAGAUGGAUCCACGCCGCAUUAGCUAGUUGGUAAGGUAACGGCUUACCAAGGCAACGAUGCGUAGCCGACCUGAGAGGGUGAUCGGCCACACUGGACCUGAGACGCGGUCCAGACUACUACGCGAGGCAGCAGUAGGGUAUGGUCCGCAGUGGGCGGAAGCCUGACGGAGCAGCGCCGCGUGAGAUGUGAAGGUCUUGCGAGCGUAAAACUGUCUUAUGAGGGAAGAACAAAUGUGUAAGUAACUAUAGACGGCUUGACGGUACCUGGUCAGAAAGCCACGGCUAACUACGUG